UACGAAGGGGGCUAGCGUUGUUCGGAAUCACUGGGCGUAAAGGGCGCGUAGGCGGCUAGAUAAGUCGGGGGUGAAAGCCUGUGGCUCAACCACAGAAUUGCCUUCGAUACUGUCUGGCUUGAGACCGGAAGAGGUUAGUGGAACUGCGAGUGUAGAGGUGAAAUUCGUAGAUAUUCGCAAGAACACCAGUGGCGAAGGCGGACUGACUGGUCCGGUUCUGACGCUGAGGCGCGAAAGCGUGGGGAGCAAACAGG
rnacentral:rRNA from 1 species